GACGAACGCUGGCGGCGUGCCUAAUACAUGCAAGUCGAACGCAGUGGGGACGGGUGAGUAACACGUGGGUAACCUCCCAUCAGAGGGGAUAACACUUGGAAACAGGUGCUAAACCGAUAUUGAUGGAUGGACCCGCGGUGCAUUAGCUAGUUGGUGAGGUAACGGCUCACCAAGGCCACGAUGCAUAGCCGUCCUCAGAGGGUGUCGGCGCAAACGUGGAAUGAGACUAGGCCACAGCGCCUACGGUAGUGGGUAGUAGGGAAGCUUGGGCAAUGGACGAAAAUCUGACCGAGCACCGCCGCGUGAGUUAAGAAGGUUUUAGGAUCUUAAAACUCUGUUGUUAGAGAAGCGGUAUAUAUCCAGACUGCCAUGGCUAACUACGUGCUAGCAGCCGCGGUAAUUC
rnacentral:rRNA from 1 species